UACGGAGGGGGCUAGCGUUGUUCGGAAUUACUGGGCGUAAAGCGCACGUAGGCGGCUUUGUAAGUUAGAGGUGAAAGCCCGGGGCUCAACCCCGGAAUUGCCUUUAAGACUGCAUCGCUAGAAUUGUGGAGAGGUAAGUGGAAUUCCGAGUGUAGAGGUGAAAUUCGAUAGAUAUUCGGAAGGAACACCAGUGGCGAAGGCGACUCACUGGCCCGAUACUGACGCUGAAGCACGGAAAG
rnacentral:rRNA from 1 species